rnacentral:rRNA from 1 species
UACGAAGGGGGCUAGCGUUGCUCGGAAUCACUGGGCGUAAAGCGCACGUAGGCGGAUUGUUAAGUCAGGGGUGAAAUCCUGGAGCUCAACUCCAGAACUGCCUUUGAUACUGGCGAUCUUGAGUCCGGGAGAGGUGAGUGGAACUGCGAGUGUAGAGGUGAAAUUCGUAGAUAUUCGGAAGAACACCAGUGGCGAAGGCGACUCGCUGGACAGACAUUGACGCUGAGGUGCGAAAGCGUGGGAGCAAACAGG